rnacentral:sRNA from 2 species
AGACAACAAAAGCUUAAUCUGGAUUAACUCCAGAGCGGGGGAUCUUUUAUGGGGGUGAAUCGCGUACUAUACGCGUAGGGCUUGCACCUGAAGUCCGAAUCCGUCAACUAACCUCGUAAGCUUAAGAAAGGUGUAAA